rnacentral:rRNA from 1 species
AUACGUAGGUGACAAGCGUUAUCCGGAUUUACUGGGUGUAAAGGGCGUGUAGGCGGUUUAGCAAGUCAGAAGUGAAAUUCCCGGGCUUAACUUGGGCGCUGCUUCUGAAACUGCUUUACUUGAGUGCUGGAGAGGAUAGUGGAAUUCCUAGUGUAGCGGUAAAAUGCGCAGAUAUUAGGAGGAACACCGGUGGCGAAGGCGGCUAUCUGGACAGUAACUGACGCUGAGGCGCGAAAGCACGGGGAGCAAACAGGAUUAGAUACCCCGGUAGUCCGUGCCGUAAACGAUGAAUACUAGGUGUAGGGGGUAUCGACUCCCUCUGUGCCGCAGUUAACACAUUAAGUAUUCCACCUGGGGAGUACGGCCGCAAGGUUGAAACUCAAAUGAAUUGGCGGGG